rnacentral:lncRNA from 1 species
CAUCUCUGAGGCAGAUUUUGAUAUUAUUUUACAGUGAAAGAGUGAGUGAAUCUGAAGGAGCAGGGUGUGCAGGCUGCUAGACAGAGAGGCAGAAGCCAGUUCCAGGGAGUCUGGCACCUGAGGGCUUGAACAGGGACUCGCCUUUCCUUCUGUGGAAGACAGGAAGUCAUGGAAGAGUUUCUGCUGAGAAAGAAGAAACCUGGAUGCGAUGUCUACAUGGAAACACUAUGCAUUUGGGGUUCCUUCAUGGGCCCUGUAAAAGAUCAUUCAGAAUCAUGCUCAAGAAGAAUUUUAUUAAGAAGGCUUCUCACGCACUUAUUUUAGCCUAUACUUUUAAUCCUGGAGAGGCUGAUACCUGCAGGCUUGCCUAACUGAACACAAUGUCUACGCUGUGAUCCCACCACAGUGUGCUGUUGUGCUCCUGAUACAAAUGGUGAGUAAACAGUAUUGCUUUGACAAGAUCUGCACAAUAAAUCCCUCUGAAAAACUGCAGCAGCUUUGAACCCAAUAAUAAACUGUGUGUUUUUCAGCUCUCAAGGGGGACAGUGUCUACAAAUGGCAUCAAAUUCAAAUCUAGAUAACCGCAUGAAAUGGAAACCCAGGAUGUAAACAGCCAAAGAACUUCUGAUAUCUGACCUGUGAGAAAAGGAUGCG